UACGUAGGGCGCAAGCGUUGUCCGGAAUCAUUGGGCGUAAAGAGCUCGUAGGCGGCCUGUUGCGUCCGCUGUGAAAUCCCGGGGCUUAACCCCGGGCGUGCAGUGGAUACGGGCUGGCUGGAGGCAGGCAGGGGAGAACGGAAUUCCCGGUGUAGCGGUGAAAUGCGCAGAUAUCGGGAGGAACACCGGUGGCGAAGGCGGUUCUCUGGGCCUGUACUGACGCUGAGGAGCGAAAGCAUGGGGAGCGAACAGG
rnacentral:rRNA from 1 species